rnacentral:rRNA from 1 species
GAUGAACGCUGGCGGCAGGCCUAACACAUGCAAGUCGAGGGAGAAGUCCUUACGGGGGCAGGCACGCACGCACGGGUGCGUAACGCGUAUGCAACCUACCUUUCACAGGGGGAUCACCCUAAGAAAUUUGGAUUAAUACCCCAUAAUAUUAUUGGAUAGCACCAUUUGAUAAUAAAAACUGCGUGGGAGCAAGAUGGGCAUGCGUCCUAUUAGCUAGUUGGUGUGGUAACGGCACCCCAAGGCUACGAUAGGUAGGGGUCCUGAGAAGGAGAUACCCCACACUGGUACUGAGACAGGGACCAGAAUCCUACGGGGGGCAGCAGUGAGGAAUAUAGGGCAAUGGUCGGAAGACUGAACCAGCCAUGCCGCGUGCAGGAAGAAUGCCUUAUGGGUUGUAAGCUGCUUUUAUAUAGGAAGAAUAAGGUGUACGUGUACAUUGAUGACGGUACCAAAUGAAUAAGCAUCGGCUAACUCCGUG